rnacentral:rRNA from 1 species
GGGUAGUUUGACUGGGGCGGUCUCCUCCCAAAGAGUAACGGAGGAGCACGAAGGUUAGCUAAUCCUGGUCGGACAUCAGGAGGUUAGUGCAAUGGCAUAAGCUAGCUUGACUGCGAGCGUGACGGCGCGAGCAGGUGCGAAAGCAGGUCAUAGUGAUCCGGUGGUUCUGAAUGGAAGGGCCAUCGCUCAACGGAUAAAAGGUACUCCGGGGAUAACAGGCUGAUACCGCCCAAGAGUUCAUAUCGACGGCGGUGUUUGGCACCUCGAUGUCGGCUCAUCACAUCCUGGGGCUGAAGUAGGUCCCAAGGGUAUGGCUGUUCGCCAUUUAAAGUGGUACGCGAGCUGGGUUUAGAACGUCGUGAGACAGUUCGGUCCCUAUCUGCCGUGG